GAUGAAGAACGUAGCGAAAUGCGAUAAGUAAUGUGAAUUGCAGAAUUCAGUGAAUCAUCGAAUUUUUGAACGCACAUUGCGCCCGUCAGUAUUCUGGCGGGCAUGCCUGUUCGAGCGUCAUUACGCCCCUCAAGUCCCCUGUGGACUUGGUGUUGGGGAUCGGCGAGGCUGGUUUUCCAGCACAGCCGUCCCUUAAAUUAAUUGGCGGUCUCGCCGUGGCCCUCCUCUGCGCAGUAGUAAAACACUCGCAACAGGAGCCCGGCGCGGUCCACUGCCGUAAAACCCCCCAACUUUUUAUAGUUGACCUCGAAUCAGGUAGGACUACCCGCUGAACUUAAGCAUAUCAAUAGCGGAGGA
rnacentral:misc_RNA from 1 species